GACGAACGCUGGCGGCAGGCCUAACACAUGCAAGUCGAACGAGUGGCGGACGGGUGAGUAAUGUCUGGGAAACUGCCCGAUGGAGGGGGAUAACUACUGGAAACGGUAGCUAAUACCGCAUACCAUCGGAUGUGCCCAGAUGGGAUUAGUUAGUAGGUGGGGUAACGGCUCACAUAGGCGACGAUCCCGAGCUGGUCUGAGAGGAUGACCAGCCACACUGGACCUGGUACACGGCCCAGACUCCUACGGGAGGCAGCAGGGGGGAAGAUGGCACAAUGGGCGCAAGCCUGAUGCAGCCAUGCCGAGUGUAUGAAGAAGGCCUUCGGGUUGUAAAGUACUUUCAGCGAGGAGGCGUUACUCGCAGAAGAAGCACCGGCUAACUCCGUGCCAGCAGCCGCGGUAAUUC
rnacentral:rRNA from 1 species